UUUUAUUUUGGAACCGUGCAGGUUUUUACUUGGCAAGAGUUUUCUAAAAUACAAUUAAAACAUUUGGUAAAACCACACGUCAACACCAGUGCGCAUCCAAAUCUCAAAUACAAAGUGAAUUUGGUCGUGCUGAACCUUAUUAGAUCAGUAAAGAUGUAAUUAACCAGAAAUCAACUAAUAUCUAGUGGAUUAGGACUUAAAUCGAGGUGAAAUAAUCUAAGCUAGGAGACUAGUUUAUGGUAUACAAUGUGCAAUAAAAGGAACUGAAGAGGAAGAUCCGAACCGAGAAGAAGAGGUAAUAGGGAGAGCUAUGUGCUGUGUGACAAGUUAGGUGUCUUAUUACUUAAUUAAAAAUCUCCUGCUGACACAGGAGUUCUUCAUGAUAUUUGUCCCUGAGAGUGUUGUUAAUUUUCGGUGUAAAUGUCGUACGUUUUUAUUACAUGUAUAGUAAGUUUGUCCGUUGUUGUUAAGAGUUAUAAAAAUUAUAUUGACGAUUAAAAUUUGAUUAUGUCUGAACAAUUGUUAUUAGCAAAAUUUAUUAUAACGACUUCUAAUAAUAUGUAAAUAAGUUUUCUUCCAAAAAAA
rnacentral:lncRNA from 1 species